CGGGAGUCACAUAAAGCAAAAAAAUGGGAGUCAGUAUUACCUAAAUAAAAGUUUCUUGCUCACCAGAUGAAGCUGGCCACAAUACAUUGUGCAGAUUGGUCCGUCAGCACACACCAGACCAUGGGCUCCAUCUUACAGACAUUGCUUUAACAGACAGGGUGAAAUUGUAUGUCUCAGAUUCAGCUCUCAAAUAUGGAGUGAAAAACAUGUUCCCAGCCAUUAACCUGACACCCUUGAUUCUGCCAGAAAUUCUCUGGCCAACAGAGUUCAGCAGCAAGCACCUUGACAACAGAGAGGUAUUAGUUCAAGUGAAGACCUGUAUUAACACGUUACCUCACAGGGACUUAGCCAGGAAUGGAUGCACUGAUGACUUUUUACCAUGACAAAGAGCUGACUUAAACAAUACUCCCAAAUUGUGCAACUAUUUUUUGAUCACGUGUUCACAAAUGCCUGUUCCAAAUCUUUGAGAAAACUGUUAGCAUGUGAAGCAGGACCUAAUGUAGUACAUCCAAAAAUGUUUCUUGCUUUGAGGCAAUAAGAAGAAACAAGCUGACUGGAUCAUAUUCUACUUUUCUCUGUGCCCUGGUACACCAGUGAUUUCAUAAAGCGGCACUCAAGAGAAAUGUUACAACUACCAUUUAUGAACAUACACUCUAUCCUCGUGUAUAGCCUAUAUUCAAUUCACGAAAAUAUUUAAGAAAGAGCUUGAGUGCUUUCCUGACAAGGGUAUUUCCAACCAGGGCCUCUGUUCACAUCAGUUCUUUCACUAGGGCAAGAAUGAAAGCUAAGGUAAUCUGAAAAGUUCACUUUAAAUCUUAAUUUUCACAUUGCAGUUUUCUGAUGAGCCCAAUCCCCAUUAAGCUACAUAUUUUCUAUGCAUGGCUUAACAAUGACCUGUUUUUUAAACAGUAAAAUUCUAUGCUCUUUUUUUUUUUUCUUCUUUGAAGAAGGAAAAUAUAUUUUUUGCCUUUUCUUUUGUUAAAAAGUUUUUAAAAUCCGGUCUUGUAAAAGGUCAGUUCUACAAUUCUGUGAUUCUGUGUGCCUCUGCAAGCAGGGGAGCAUUUACACAGGGCUCAAUGCUGGUCAAUGUCUCCACACACCCAAGUGACAGUCAGACCUUGUCAUGCUUGUUUGAGUAUGCCAACAAAUUUUCAUCACUUCAGACACCCCACAGAAUUUGGAGGAAGAGUAAAAGGGUCAUCCACUAAUAAUCUCUAAAAAUAUGAAAAAUAGAGUUCUCAGCUCAAGAUGGACCAUCAAAUGUGAAAAGAUAAGCAGAAUAAAAGAACAUAGAUUUUAAUUUGA